UAAGGAAUAUUGCGCAAUGGGCGAAAGCCUGACGCAGCGACGCCGCGUGGGGGAUGAAGGUCUUCGGAUUGUAAACCCCUUUCGGGAGGGAAGAUGGAGCGAGCAAUCGUUCGGACGGUACCUCCAGAAGCAGCCACGGCCAACUUCGUGCCAGCAGCCGCGGUAAUACGAAGGUGGCAAGCGUUGUUCGGAUUCACUGGGCGUACAGGGUGUGUAGGCGGUUUGGUAAGCCUUCUGUUAAAGCUUCGGGCCCAACCCGGAAAGCGCAGAGGGUACUGCCAGGCUAGAGGACGGGAGAGGAGCGCGGAAUUCCCGGUGUAGCGGUGAAAUGCGUAGAGAUCGGGAGGAAGGCCGGUGGCGAAGGCGGCGCUCUGGAACGUUUCUGACGCUGAGACACGAAAGCGUGGGGAGCAAACA
rnacentral:rRNA from 1 species